CCUACGGGGGGCAGCAGUGAGGAAUAUUGGUCAAUGGCCGGGAGGCUGAACCAGCCAAGUCGCGUGAGGGAAGACGGCCCUACGGGUUGUAAACCUCUUUUGUCAAGGGACAAAAUCAGGCUCGAGAGCCUGACCGAGGGUACUUGAAGAAAAAGCAUCGGCUAACUCCGUGCCAGCAGCCGCGGUAAUACGGAGGAUGCGAGCGUUAUCCGGAUUUAUUGGGUUUAAAGGGUGCGUAGGCGGACUGUUAAGUCAGCGGUAAAAGCCCGGGGCUCAACCCCGGCGAGCCGUUGAAACUGGCUGUCUUGAGAUGUCGAGAGGUAUGCGGAAUGCGCAGUGUAGCGGUGAAAUGCUUAGAUAUUGCGCAGAACUCCGAUUGCGAAGGCAGCAUACCGGCGGCGAUCUGACGCUGAGGCACGAAAGCGUGGGUAUCGAACAGGAUUAGAUACCCUAGUAGUC
rnacentral:rRNA from 1 species